GACGAACGCUGGCGGCGUGCUUAACACAUGCAAGUCGAACGGAAAGGCCCUGCUUUUGUGGGGUGCCCGAGUGGCGAACGGGUGAGUAACACGUGAGUAACCUGCCCUUGACUUUGGGAUAACUUCAGGAAACUGGGGCUAAUACCGGAUAGGAGCUCCUGCUGCAUGGUGGGGGUUGGAAAGUUUCGGCGGUUGGGGUUGGACUCGCGGCUUAUCAGCUUGUUGGUGGGGUAGUGGCUUACCAAGGCUUUGACGGGUAGCCGGCCUGAGAGGGUGACCGGCCACAUUGGGACUGAGAUACGGCCCAGACUCCUACGGGAGGCAGCAGUGGGGAAUAUUGCACAAUGGGCGGAAGCCUGAUGCAGCAACGCCGCGUGCGGGAUGACGGCCUUCGGGUUGUAAACCGCUUUCGCCUGUGACGAAGCGUGAGUGACGGUAAUGGGUAAAGAAGCACCGGCUAACUACGUG
rnacentral:rRNA from 1 species